rnacentral:tRNA from 1 species
GGCCCCGUAGUUUAGCUGUAUAAAAUGUCAGAUUCCGGUUCUGAAGAGCGCGGGUUAGAAUCCCGCCGGGGUCACAA